UUUUUUUUUAUAUUUUUUAAAUUUAUUAAUAAUUUUCAUAUAUAUUUAUUUAUGGCUUGAGCAAAGACAAAAGAAAAAAUCUAACUCAUCUCUGAUCAUACAGUUAUCAUAAGAAUCAGAUCUAUAGUCUUCCCAGCAGCAGCAAGAUCCAACCUUUUUCAUUAAUACAUUUCAUCCUGUACAGAUGUGAGAUUUCAUACUUAUGGGCUUACUUAUGUACAGAGAAAAUAAGUCAGCUCUGAAACUAGCAAUGGUCUUUUAUAUUACAGGAAUGUGAGUCAUUUGUUUCUUAAUCUAAGCAUAUAUACAUUCAUACAUACAUAUAUAUAUACGUAUAUAAUUUUAUACCCUGUACCUUUUUUUUUUAAUUAACAUACAAAUGCUAGAUAUUUUCCACUCUAUUACAAAGUCAUUAAAAAUUAUUUAUGGUUUCACUGAAAGACCAUGUGAAUUAAUAUUUAUUUAUAGUGCUUAAAAUAAAAUAAAAAUAUAUAUAAAAAUAUUUUGCUACUAACCCCAUUACUCCUAUUAAUGUAAACCUUAAACAGUUUGAAAGAUCAGUAUAUGAUCUUAAUUAACUGACAGAAUUUGUUAGUAUUAAAAUAAUAUAAGGGGCACUGUACUGAUAAAUAAAUGGUCUUGCAGCGUAUCCAUAAUGUUCCAAACACUUUUAAGCAAUCACUUCCCCAUAUACUACUCUGGGCCACUUAAAUUAAUGGCAGCAGCAUGUUAAUGGGUUAACUACAUCAUUUUUUACUGGUGAGUGGGAGUCAGGGAAAAAUUGGAAGAUUUUUAAAAAUUUUUAUUUGAUGUACCACUUCAGUAAAAGGCGUAACAGGCAGCAUGGGUUCAAGCUCUGUUAGCUUUAGAAUAUUUACUUGGCUCUCAAGUACAUCUGGAUUCACUGCAUUACGUAGUUUGUGAUGUUAUUUAAGUUUUCCAUGCAUCAUUUAACUCAGCAUUAAUAGGAAAAGAAGAACUCCUUUGCAUUCAUUUCCUUAACAUGAGUCAGCUGGGUUUUAAGGAACAGAAUAUAUGCUUGUAUCAGAUCCAUAAUGCUGAUUUUUCAAUGAGUUAAAUUAUGACACAUUUAGUUUCAAUCUCUAUUUAAUGUGACAAAUCAGGCACAAAUGAUCAUGAAAGUACUUUUUUUGUGGAUAAGAUAAUGUUAAGGUUUGAGCAAACAAAACAAAA
rnacentral:lncRNA from 1 species